UACGGAGGGUGCAAGCGUUAUCCGGAUUCACUGGGUUUAAAGGGUGCGUAGGUGGGCAGGUAAGUCAGUGGUGAAAUCUCCGGGCUUAACCCGGAACUGCCGUUGAUACUAUUUGUCUUGAAUGUCGUGGAGGUGAGCGGAAUAUGUCAUGUAGCGGUGAAAUGCUUAGAGAUGACAUAGAACACCGAUUGCGAAGGCAGCUCACUACGCGAAUAUUGACACUGAGGCACGAAAGCGUGGGGAUCAAACAGG
rnacentral:rRNA from 1 species